GUACGUACAUGAAUGUAAAACCUAUGUUAAAUGAAGGGAUUAUCAUAAUAAACAAAACAGAUGUGACACUACGAAAUAUGUCGCCACAAUAGCGGUAAUCUACGUUACAGAACGUAAAAUGCAUAUAUAUUGACAAACAUGUGUUUUGAAAGCUCGCAAGUUUUUACUGGAUAUAUUAUAUGUA